GCGCCCGUAGCGCAAUUGGAUAGAGCGUCAGAUUCCGGUUCUGAAGGCUGGGGGUUCGAGUCCCUUCGGGCGUACCA
rnacentral:tRNA from 29 species